CCUUAUCAAUAUCACAGACACAAGAACAGUUCUCAGUGAGUAUGAGUGACAGAAAGAAUGGGCAAACCCCUGAGCCUGCUCAUCCUUUGGUUACAGCUGGACUGGGUGAGCAGUAAACAGGAGGUGGAGCAGAGUCCUGAAGCUCUGAGUGUCCUGGAGGGGGACAGAUUGGCUCUGAACUGCAGCUACACUGAUAGCGCUAUCUACUUCCUUCAGUGGUUCAGGCAGGACCCUGGGAAAGGGCUCACUUCUCUGUUAUUAAUUCAGUCAAAUCAGAGAGAGCAAACAAGUGGAAGAAUUAAAGCCUCGUUGGACAAGUUGUCAAGACAUAGUGCUCUGUACAUUGCAACUUCUCAGCCCAACGACUCGGCCACCUACCUCUGUGCUGUGAGGCACAGUGCACAAUGGGCACCUGUCACCAACACCCAAACUCUGUGGCUGGGGCUCCAACCACGUGCCGUCUUGAAGCUGAAGACCUUUCUCCAUUAA